rnacentral:rRNA from 1 species
UACGUAGGGAGCAAGCGUUGUCCGGAAUCAUUGGGCGUAAAGCGCGCGUAGGCGGCCUCAUAAGUCCGUUGUGAAAGUCAAAGGCUCAACCUUUGAAAGCCGAUGGAUACUGUGAGGCUAGAGUCCGGAAGAGGCGAGUGGAAUUCCUGGUGUAGCGGUGGAAUGCGCAGAUAUCAGGAGGAACACCGGUGGCGAAGGCGGCCCUCUGGACGGAUACUGACGCUGAGACGCGAAAGCGUGGGGAGCAAACAGG